UGGGGAAUAUUGCACAAUGGGCGCAAGCCUGAUGCAGCCAUGCCGCGUGUAUGAAGAAGGCCUUCGGGUUGUAAAGUACUUUCAGCGGGGAGGAAGGUGUUGAGGUUAAUAACCUCAGCAAUUGACGUUACCCGCAGAAGAAGCACCGGCUAACUCCGUGCCAGCAGCCGCGGUAAUACGGAGGGUGCAAGCGUUAAUCGGAAUUACUGGGCGUAAAGCGCACGCAGGCGGUCUGUCAAGUCGGAUGUGAAAUCCCCGGACUCAACCUGGGAACUGCAUUCGAAACUGGCAGGCUAGAGUCUUGUAGAGGGGGGUAGAAUUCCAGGUGUAGCGGUGAAAUGCGUAGAGAUCUGGAGGAAUACCGGUGGCGAAGGCGGCCCCCUGGACAAAGACUGACGCUCAGGUGCGAAAGCGUGGGGAGCAAACA
rnacentral:rRNA from 1 species